UUACAAUGUAGAUUUUCUCUUUCCUCAUCUUGCAAAAAUCGCCUACUGCAUUCACCUCUGUUCAUCUUCUUCCCAAAUUCUUCUUCAGAUCUAAAACAAUUCCAUGACCCAAGGGUUUAAUUCUAUACUGUUCGACUCUCUCAACAUGGCGAGUAUUUUGAUUCGAUUGGAUUUCAGUUUUUAUCAACUCCCGCAUUUUCCUCCCACCUCCCGCACACGGACACACACAAUUUGGUGUAUUAUCUGGAUGAUUAUACUGGGAAUGGAUCAAGAUCAACAAUGGCUGAUCAAUUGCUUGAACGCCUAACUCGAUCCCAACCAUUAAGUUCGAACCUUUGCGGAGACUUCCCUCCAGCAAGCAUCUCUUCCACCAGGUUAUGGUGUUGCUCUAGCUGGAGUUGCUGCAAACCGUGAAUUUCCAUUUGGAUUACGGCAUAUAUCCUUCAUGCUGUAUUUAGCAAAAUUUUAUUUAUUUUUUCUGCAUUCAAUGGACUUUAUGUGUUUGAUUUUGGUCCAAUUCCUUUUAGUGAUUCGCUUGUGAGAUUAACAUGCAUUAAGUUAGCAGCAGUUUUGCUGAAGCAAUAUAUUAAGAAACAUUGGAACAAGGAUGAGGAAGGUUUUGAGAAGUAACAUGUGAGCCAGUCACUUGUUGUCAUACAUUAAUUAUAAUGUUAACGGGAA